rnacentral:lncRNA from 1 species
UGGAAGGGAAUACUUGGAUUCUGUCCCUCUCUUUUUUUCUUUAAUCCCAGCCACUAAAAGAAAAGAACUGGCUUCCAAGAAAUAACAACAAACCAUAACAAAACAAAUAAAAUAAAGUAAAAUGAAAACUAUCACAUCAAAUUUGGACAAGACAAACCAUCAGAUGGAAAAGAGCCAAAGAGAAGACGCAAGAAUCAGAGACCCACUCAUUCACAGACUCAGGAAUGCCAUAAAAACACUAAACCAUAAUGUAAAAAAAUGGAGGACUUUCUGAAGAACUGUGCAUACUGCUUCAGUCUCUGUUUGCCUGAGCUUGGAGUAUGAGAUAGAGACAUCAUAUUUAGAGCUGUUUGUUCCAAGGAUAUGAGUAAUGGAUUAAAACAACACAAGACAAAAAAAAACAAAAAAAAAACAACCAAACAACAACAACAACAACAACACCCAACAACUUUGAAAUCUGAAGCCCGAAAGGAAAACUGCAAUGCUACUUGGGUCCACUAGGGAAGAAAGUGAAGGAGCUAGCAAGUAAUACACUUUAUAUUCCCAGGAAGAACUGAUACCUCCAGAAACAAGAUGGAAGGUCAUUUGAAUCGAGGAGAGACUGAGAUUGAGGUUAUGAUUAUGGAUAGAUGGAAGUGUGUGCAGAAGACACAGUCUAUAAGAAUGAGAACAAGUGGUUAAACACACGACUUAUUACUGUGUGUGCAGAGUCAUAAGGGCUGGUGUCUGACCACUGGCAUCCCUGGGAAGACUCUUCCUCACCUUUGUA